rnacentral:rRNA from 1 species
UAGGUCUAAAGUUCCGACGCCUCAGGAUGGGUCUGCGGCCUAUCAGGGUAGUAGUGGGUGUAAAGUACCUACUAGCCUACGACGGGUACGGGUUGUGAGAGCAAGAGCCCGGAGAUGGAUUCUGAGACACGAAUCCAGGCCCUACGGGGUGCAGCAGGCGCGAAACCUUUACAAUGCUGGCAACAGCGAUAAGGGGACCUCGAGUGCUACGAUACAAUCGUGGCUGUCUAGUUGCCUAAAAAGCAAUUGAUAGCAAGGGCCGGGCAAGACCGGUGCCAGCCGCCGCGGUAACACCGGCGGCUCGAGUGGUAACCGCUAUUAUUGGGUCUAAAGGGUCUGUAGCCGGCUUAGUUAGUCUCUUGAGAAAUCUGGCCGCUCAACGGUCAGGCGUUCAGGGGAUACUGCUAAAGCUCGAGACCGGGAGAGGUGAGAGGUACUUCAGGGGUAGGGGUGAAAUCUUGUAAUCCUUGAAGGACCACCAGUGGCGAAGGCGUCUCACCAGAACGGAUCUGACGGCAAGGGACGAAAGCUAGGGGCACGAACCGGAUUAGAUACCCGGGUAGUCCUAGCCGUAAACGAUACUCGCUAGGUGUCGGCCACGGUGCGACCGUGGUCGGUGCCGUAGGGAAGCCGUGAAGCGAGCCACCUGGGAAGUACGGCCGCAAGGCUGAAACU